AUUUUGAACCGCAUGGUUCAAUAGUGAAAGACGGCCUUGCUGUCACUUAUAGAUGGAUCCGCGCCGUAUUAGCUAGUUGGUAAGGUAACGGCUUACCAAGGCAACGAUACGUAGCCGACCUGAGAGGGUGAUCGGCCACACUGGAACUGAGACACGGUCCAGACUCCUACGGGAGGCAGCAGUAGGGAAUCUUCCGCAAUGGGCGAAAGCCUGACGGAGCAACGCCGCGUGAGUGAUGAAGGUCUUCGGAUCGUAAAACUCUGUUAUCAGGGAAGAACAAACGUGUAAGUAACUGUGCACGUCUUGACGGUACCUGAUCAGAAAGCCACGGCUAACUACAUGCCAGCAGCCGCGGUAAUACGUAGGUGGCAAGCGUUAUCCGGAAUUAUUGGGCGUAAAGCGCGCGUAGGCGGUUUUUUAAGUCUGAUGUGAAAGCCCACGGCUCAACCG
rnacentral:rRNA from 1 species